CUGACGACRSUGGCRAGSGKGCUGCUAAMMCAUGCAAGUGCGAACGKUAACAGGGCUAGCUUGCUAGCCGCUGACGAGUGGCGCACGGKUGAGUAACGCGUGGGUAACCUGCCUAUCAGUGGGGAAAAACUCCGGGAAACCGGAGCUAAUACCGCAUACGACCUUCGGGUGAAAGAGGGGGCUCUUCGGACCUCUCGCUGAUGGAUGGGCUCGCGUCCGAUUAGCUAGUUGGUGAGGUAAAGGCUCACCAAGGCUACGAUCGGUAACUGGUUUGAGAGGAUGAUCAGUCACACUGGAAACUGAGACACGGUCCAGACUCCUACGGGAGGCAGCAGUGGGGAAUUUUGCACAAUGGGCGAAAGCCUGAUGCAGCGACGCCGCGUGCGGGAAGAAGGCCUUCGGGUUGUAAACCGCUUUCAACAGGGAAGAAGGAAUGAGGGCCAAUACCCCUCUGCCUUGACGGUACCUGUAGAAGAAGCACCGGCUAAUUUCGUGCCAGCAGCCGCGGUAAUACGAAAGGUGCAAGCGUUGUUCGGAUUUACUGGGCGUAAAGCGCGCGUAGGCGGCUAAUCAAGUCGGAUGUGAAAUCCCGGGGCUCAACCCCGGAACUGCAUUCGAAACUGGUUGGCUAGAGUUCGAGAGGGGGAUGCGGAAUUCCGAGUGUAGCAGUGAAAUGCGUAGAUAUUCGGAGGAACACCUGAGGCGAAGGCGGCAUCCUGGAUCGACACUGACGCUGAGGUGCGAAAGCGUGGGUAGCAAACAGGAUUAGAUACCCUGGUAGUCCACGCCCUAAACGAUGUCUACUAGCCGUUGCGGGUAUCGACCCCUGCAGUGGCAAAGCUAACGCGAUAAGUAGACCGCCUGGGGGAGUACGGCCGCAARMUAAACUAAUGAUGCGUCG
rnacentral:rRNA from 1 species